rnacentral:lncRNA from 12 species
GGGAUUUGCACGUGGGUUUUUGCAGAAAUGACAGCGGAAUACUUAUGAUGAUAUUCAGGUUAUUCCUGAGCCCACAGGUUGAUGGUGAUCAUCAGACCAGAUACAUAUAAAUUCAGAUGCCAUGCUGGCCUGUUUCCCGUUGGCACAGAGGGGCCAGAUUGGUACCGGGAUCAACUCCAAGCUGUCAGAGAUCCGUCUCAGAUCCAGGAAAUGUGUAGCAGGGCGGUUGCAACUGACAAAUAUACUGUGCACGUCAGAGAAAAGGGACUUGUUAUAUCGAAAAGUUAUUUUGUUGCAUAUACUGGUGUGCUCGGGAGCUUGCUUUUUUUGCUUGGUGAUUGUCAAGACAAAAAAUGUUUGCUGAGGGGGUGUGGGAGAUUUGUAAUGUACAGAAUGCUUGUGUUUUGGUGGUAAAUAAUAAAGCACCAUUCCCACCUAUAUGCACUAAAAGAACGCCUAAGUAGUAGAUCCCUGAGGAAUGCUAGCAGUCUUCUUCUAGAUAUUUUUAGGAAUUUAAUCAUCUUGACAGAAAACACUAACUGUGUUAACAAGUUGCAUCUCUGUUCAUGGAUCCACUUAUGUACAACCUGUACACAAAAGAGAGAUUUCUAGAUAGCGAUGUGAUUAUGUAAAGAUAAUUAAGACUUUGGCCUCAGGAGGCUUCUCACUUUUCAGAUUGACACAAGAAGAGUUUCCUGAGGUAGUCCUCACCUAACAAAUGUGUUCAGAUUUGAAAAUACCUUGUCAAAGUUUGUGCUCCACUUGAUACUUAAAGGGAUACUCCACCCCAAAAUGGAAAUUUUGUCAUUAAUCAAUUACCCCCAUGUCGUUCCAAACCCAUAAAAGCUCUGUUCAUCUUCGGAACACAAUUUAAGAUAUUUUGGAUGAAAUAGUCAUUAUUUUUUCAUUGCUUACAAAACGUGUUCCCGUCGCUUCAUAUAACCCAGAUUGCACGUCUGAUGGCAGUUGGAGUAUUCUGAUGAUGACUUUCAUACCUUUUAUGGACCUUGUUAUUUACUUGGCAGUCUAUGGGACACUCUCAAGCCUCCAUGUUUUCAUCCAAAAUAUCUUCAAUUGUGUUCCGAAGAUGAAUGGAGCUUUUACAGCUUUGGAAGGACAUGGGGGUAAGUGAUUAAUGACAAAAUUUUAAUUUUGGGGUCGAGUAUCCCUUUAAAUGAAACUCCUGAUCUAUGAAAGGCCAACUUCUGUAAGGGAAGAU